rnacentral:rRNA from 1 species
GGUUAAGCGACUAAGCGUACACGGUGGAUGCCCUGGCAGUCAGAGGCGAUGAAGGACGUGCUAAUCUGCGAUAAGCGUCGGUAAGGUGAUAUGAACCGUUAUAACCGGCGAUUUCCGAAUGGGGAAACCCAGUGUGUUUCGACACACUAUCAUUAACUGAAUCCAUAGGUUAAUGAGGCGAACCGGGGGAACUGAAACAUCUAAGUACCCCGAGGAAAAGAAAUCAACCGAGAUUCCCCCAGUAGCGGCGAGCGAACGGGGAGCAGCCCAGAGCCUGAAUCAGUGUGUGUGUUAGUGGAAGCGUCUGGAAAGGCGCGCGAUACAGGGUGACAGCCCCGUACACAAAAAUGCACAUGCUGUGAGCUCGAUGAGUAGGGCGGGACACGUGGUAUCCUGUCUGAAUAUGGGGGGACCAUCCUCCAAGGCUAAAUACUCCUGACUGACCGAUAGUGAACCAGUACCGUGAGGGAAAGGCGAAAAGAACCCCGGCGAGGGGAGUGAAAAAGAACCUGAAACCGUGUACGUACAAGCAGUGGGAGCCUCUUUAUGGGGUGACUGCGUACCUUUUGUAUAAUGGGUCAGCGACUUAUAUUCUGUAGCAAGGUUAACCGAAUAGGGGAGCCGAAGGGAAACCGAGUCUUAACUGGGCGUUAAGUUGCAGGGUAUAGACCCGAAACCCGGUGAUCUAGCCAUGGGCAGGUUGAAGGUUGGGUAACACUAACUGGAGGACCGAACCGACUAAUGUUGAAAAAUUAGCGGAUGACUUGUGGCUGGGGGUGAAAGGCCAAUCAAACCGGGAGAUAGCUGGUUCUCCCCGAAAGCUAUUUAGGUAGCGCCUCGUGAACUCAUCUCCGGGGGUAGAGCACUGUUUCGGCAAGGGGGUCAUCCCGACUUACCAACCCGAUGCAAACUGCGAAUACCGGAGAAUGUUAUCACGGGAGACACACGGCGGGUGCUAACGUCCGUCGUGAAGAGGGAAACAACCCAGACCGCCAGCUAAGGUCCCAAAGUCAUGGUUAAGUGGGAAACGAUGUGGGAAGGCCCAGACAGCCAGGAUGUUGGCUUAGAAGCAGCCAUCAUUUAAAGAAAGCGUAAUAGCUCACUGGUCGAGUCGGCCUGCGCGGAAGAUGUAACGGGGCUAAACCAUGCACCGAAGCUGCGGCAGCGACGCUUAUGCGUUGUUGGGUAGGGGAGCGUUCUGUAAGCCUGUGAAGGUGUGCUGUGAGGCAUGCUGGAGGUAUCAGAAGUGCGAAUGCUGACAUAAGUAACGAUAAAGCGGGUGAAAAGCCCGCUCGCCGGAAGACCAAGGGUUCCUGUCCAACGUUAAUCGGGGCAGGGUGAGUCGACCCCUAAGGCGAGGCCGAAAGGCGUAGUCGAUGGGAAACAGGUUAAUAUUCCUGUACUUGGUGUUACUGCGAAGGGGGGACGGAGAAGGCUAUGUUGGCCGGGCGACGGUUGUCCCGGUUUAAGCGUGUAGGCUGGUUUUCCAGGCAAAUCCGGAAAAUCAAGGCUGAGGCGUGAUGACGAGGCACUACGGUGCUGAAGCAACAAAUGCCCUGCUUCCAGGAAAAGCCUCUAAGCAUCAGGUAACAUCAAAUCGUACCCCAAACCGACACAGGUGGUCAGGUAGAGAAUACCAAGGCGCUUGAGAGAACUCGGGUGAAGGAACUAGGCAAAAUGGUGCCGUAACUUCGGGAGAAGGCACGCUGAUAUGUAGGUGAAGCGACUUGCUCGUGGAGCUGAAAUCAGUCGAAGAUACCAGCUGGCUGCAACUGUUUAUUAAAAACACAGCACUGUGCAAACACGAAAGUGGACGUAUACGGUGUGACGCCUGCCCGGUGCCGGAAGGUUAAUUGAUGGGGUCAGCGCAAGCGAAGCUCUUGAUCGAAGCCCCGGUAAACGGCGGCCGUAACUAUAACGGUCCUAAGGUAGCGAAAUUCCUUGUCGGGUAAGUUCCGACCUGCACGAAUGGCGUAAUGAUGGCCAGGCUGUCUCCACCCGAGACUCAGUGAAAUUGAACUCGCUGUGAAGAUGCAGUGUACCCGCGGCAAGACGGAAAGACCCCGUGAACCUUUACUAUAGCUUGACACUGAACAUUGAGCCUUGAUGUGUAGGAUAGGUGGGAGGCUUUGAAGUGUGGACGCCAGUCUGCAUGGAGCCGACCUUGAAAUACCACCCUUUAAUGUUUGAUGUUCUAACGUUGACCCGUGAUCCGGGUUGCGGACAGUGUCUGGUGGGUAGUUUGACUGGGGCGGUCUCCUCCUAAAGAGUAACGGAGGAGCACGAAGGUUGGCUAAUCCUGGUCGGACAUCAGGAGGUUAGUGCAAUGGCAUAAGCCAGCUUGACUGCGAGCGUGACGGCGCGAGCAGGUGCGAAAGCAGGUCAUAGUGAUCCGGUGGUUCUGAAUGGAAGGGCCAUCGCUCAACGGAUAAAAGGUACUCCGGGGAUAACAGGCUGAUACCGCCCAAGAGUUCAUAUCGACGGCGGUGUUUGGCACCUCGAUGUCGGCUCAUCACAUCCUGGGGCUGAAGUAGGUCCCAAGGGUAUGGCUGUUCGCCAUUUAAAGUGGUACGCGAGCUGGGUUUAGAACGUCGUGAGACAGUUCGGUCCCUAUCUGCCGUGGGCGCUGGAGAACUGAGGGGGGCUGCUCCUAGUACGAGAGGACCGGAGUGGACGCAUCACUGGUGUUCGGGUUGUCAUGCCAAUGGCACUGCCCGGUAGCUAAAUGCGGAAGAGAUAAGUGCUGAAAGCAUCUAAGCACGAAACUUGCCCCGAGAUGAGUUCUCCCUGACCCUUUAAGGGUCCUGAAGGAACGUUGAAGACGACGACGUUGAUAGGCCGGGUGUGUAAGCGCAGCGAUGCGUUGAGCUAACCGGUACUAAUGAACCGUGAGGCUUAACCUU